rnacentral:rRNA from 1 species
GUGAGGAAUAUUGCGCAAUGGAGGCAACUCUGACGCAGCCAUGCCGAGUGCAGGAAGAAGGCGCUACGCGUUGUAAACUGCUUUUAACCGGGAAGAAACCCCAGGACGUGUCCUGGGUUGACGGUACCGGAGGAAUAAGCACCGGCUAACUUCGUGCCAGCAGCCGCGGUAAUACGAAGGGUGCAAGCGUUAUCCGGAUUCAUUGGGUUUAAAGGGUGCGUAGGCGGAGCGUUAAGUCAGUGGUGAAAUCCUGCAGCUUAACUGUAGACUUGCCAUUGAUACUGGCGCUCUUGAGUGCGCUUGAAGUGGGCGGAAUGUGCCGUGUAGCGGUGAAAUGCUUAGAUAUGGCACAGAACACCAAUUGCGAAGGCAGCUCACUAAGGCGAUACUGACGCUGAGGCACGAAAGCGUGGGGAUCGAACAGGAUUAGAAACCCUGGUAGUCC